rnacentral:tRNA from 1 species
CAGAGUGUGGUGUAACGUGGUAGCACAAAGGACUUUGAAUUCUUACGGCUAGGUUCAAUUCCUAUAAUCCUA